GAUGUACUCCCUCCGUUCCAUAAUUCUUGUCUCAAAUUUGCCCAAAAUUGGAUGUAUCUAUUCCUAAAAAGUGUUAGAUACAUGGAAGAUUUCGACAAGAAUUAUGGAACGGAGGAAGUACAUA
rfam:Brachypodium distachyon strain Bd21 chromosome 5, whole genome shotgun sequence.